UAGGGAAUCUUCCACAAUGGGCGCAAGCCUGAUGGAGCAACACCGCGUGAGUGAAGAAGGGUUUCGGCUCGUAAAGUUCUGUUGUUAAAGAAGAACACGUAUGAGAGUAACUGUUCAUACGUUGACGGUAUUUAACCAGAAAGUCACGGCUAACUACGUGCCUAG
rnacentral:rRNA from 1 species